AACGAACGCUGGCGGCAUGCCUAACACAUGCAAGUCGAACGAAACCUUCGGGUCUAGUGGCGCACGGGUGCGUAACGCGUGGGAACCUGCCCUUAGGUUCGGAAUAACCCCCCGACAGGGGUGCUAAUACCGGAUAAUGUUUUCGUACCAAAGAUAUUUCGCCUUUGGAUGGGCCCGCGUUGGAUUAGCUAGUUGGUAGGGUAAAAGCCUACCAAGGCGACGAUCCAUAGCUGGUCAGAGAGGAUGAUCAGCCACACUGGGACUGAGACACGGCCCAGAGUCCUACGGGAGGCAGCAGUGAGGAAUAUUGGAAAAUGGGAGAGAGCCUGAUGCAGCAAUGCAGCGUAAGUGAUGAAGGCCUUAGGGUUGUAAAGCUCUUUUACCCGGAAUGAUAAUGACGGUACCGUGAGAAUAAGCGCCGGCUAACUCCGUG
rnacentral:rRNA from 1 species